rnacentral:rRNA from 1 species
UACAGAGGGUGCGAGCGUUAAUCGGAAUUACUGGGCGUAAAGCGCGCGUAGGCGGCUUUGCAAGUCGGGUGUGAAAUCCCCAGGCUUAACCUGGGAACUGCAUUCGAGACUGCAUUGCUAGAGUAUGGGAGAGGGGAGUGGAAUUUCCGGUGUAGCGGUGAAAUGCGUAGAUAUCGGAAGGAACAUCAGUGGCGAAAGCGACUUCCUGGACCAAUACUGACGCUCAUGUGCGAAAGCGUGGGGAGCAAACAGG